rnacentral:rRNA from 1 species
GAUGAACGCUGGCGGCAUGCCUAAUACGAUGCAAGUCAAACGGGUGUAGCAAUACACAAGUGGCGAACGGGUGAGUAACACAUAGACAACUUGUCCUUAAGACGAGGAUAACAGUUGGAAACGACUGCUAAAACUGGAUAGGAUAAAGUAACGCAUGUUAAGAUAUUUAAAGAUGCUUUUGGGGCCAGUUACUUAAGGAGGGGUCUAUGUCGCAUUAGCUAGUUGGUGAGGUAAGGGCUCACCAAGGCGACGAUGCGUAGCUGUGCCUGAGAGGCAAAACAGCCACACUGGGACUGAGACACGGCCCAGACUCCUACGGGAGGCAGCAGUAGGGAAUUUUCGGCAAUGGGGGGAAACCCUGACCGAGCAAUGCCGCGUGAAUGAAGGCCUUCGGGUUGUAAACUUGCUUUUGGUACGGAACGAAAAGACUCUUUCUAAUAAAGAGGGUCCAUGACGGUACCGUAAGAAUAAGCACCGGCUAACUACGUG